rnacentral:rRNA from 1 species
UACGUAGGGGGCAAGCGUUGUCCGGAAUCAUUGGGCGUAAAGCGCGUGUAGGCGGCCAGAUAAGUCCGUUCUGAAAGCCCGGGGCUCAACCCCGGGAGGCGGAUGGAUGACUGUUUGGCUCGAGUCCGGAAGAGGCGAGUGGAAUUCCCGGGUGUGAGCGGUGAAAUGCGCCAGAGUAUCGGGAGGAACACCAAUGGCGAAGGCAGCUCGCUGGGACGGUACUGACGCGUGAGACGCGAAAGCGUGGGG